GCCAUUUGCAUAAGGUAACAGAGUGAGACAAGAGCAGUUCUGGGACUGGCAGGCAGAGUUCCUUAGUGCCAUGCGCACAGUGGCAAGAUCCCUCAGGCACCUCAGGAGAGUGGGAUCAAGGCCGAGAGGGUAGGCGAAUGUCGGUACAUGAAUGGAUUUUGAAAUGGAGGCAGCACUUGUCAUGUGCCAGCUUCCUUUGGAAAAUGAUGCUACAGAGAUCCCAUCACUGGUUGGGUCUUGUCCAGCUGCUUUGUGGAGGGAAGGAUGAACAGGACAUGCUCUCCUUUGUGCCACCACCCCAGUCAGUGGCAAGGGGGGGAAAUGAGGAGACCUUCCAAUGUCUUCUCUACCAAGUGAAUCUCUGACUCUACAAGUUUCCUUCCCAAGACACUGUGGUCCAGGGCUACCUCCCUUACAGCCUACAUGACAACAUGUGCAAAUUAUUUGUCAGCAUCUAAUUGCAAGAACGUGACCCAUAGCAACGGGAUGGCCAUCGUCUAAGAUAACCUGUUUUCACUGUGGAGCACAGGCUCUGAAGGGGACACAGCCAAACCACACCAGCUCAUUAGCAUCUUCAGCUCUGCC
rnacentral:lncRNA from 1 species